rfam:Erwinia tracheiphila strain BuffGH Etrach_2, whole genome shotgun sequence.
CGUAUGAUACGCAGGCCAGCCCCGUGAAGCCUGCACAGCGCGGUGGCGGCGUGCAGCAAGGCUGCACAUGAAUCACCACCCGGUUAAG